rnacentral:lncRNA from 1 species
GACAUCAAAGCUUUAGGUACUGAGAGAGGAUACUUCCUACUGUGGAAGGGAAGAAAAGAAAAAAGCAAAGCUACUUCUUGGAAGAGCAGUGGAGAGAAAAAUAUUGUUUCUUUUUCUUGGGAAAUUGGCAGAGGCAUGCUGAAGAAAUCAGCUACAGCUGUUCUCCACACCUGGAUAAAUUUUUAAUAAGAACUUAACACACCCGCCCUCCAGAAAGGGUGGUCUGAGGUGUCGAUGGUGUUGUCUCUCCCAGGGCUCUUCUGGGCAGCCUUCUCUGUGACCUGGAGAGCGAAGAGUCUAUUUCCAUCACAUUUCAGCUGCCAAACUCCCCUUUAAACCUGGCACCAUACUAUUGAUGACCAGGGGACCCACAGGGACAGCUAGC